AGCGUACUAAUAAAUAUGUAUUUUUAAGUUCGUUGUGUUAUUAAAAAAAUAAUUCUGUUUCUGUGCUGUUUGUAUGAGGUCUAAAAAUUGUUUUAUGUUGGUCAAGAAGUUACCUCAAAUGCUGUUGGUUUUGUGUUUGUGUUUUGUUACUUGCCACUCAAGUGUGACAAAGCUAAGUAAAAUAGCCGGCCAACCGCACGGUCACGUGCCAGGAAGUUGUACGUGCCAAGAAUUAAAAAAAUGGAGUAGAGUAAUGUAGCAUAGUGUCAAGCAUAAGCGGACUAAAUGGCAAGUCAAGUAACCAAAAGCAUAGAAUUCACAGCGACCAGCAAAGGUCGUAAAGCUGGCAUUGCUUGACGGCUCUUUGCAGUCAGCUGACGAAACUGUAAGACAUUUUUAAAUUUCAAUGUCAAAAAGAAUGUAGCGCACUUUUAUGGGCGAGGGCAUCAACUGCUGUUGCGUUGCACACAUUCGGAUAAUUUUACAACUGGCCAGUAAAUUUUGCCAAAAAGGAGCAAGCACGCACAAUCAGCGCCAGCUGUGGCCUGUGGAAGACAUCAAACUGUAAACUUUAGUUGUCGGACUGCCGAAAACCUUUCCCAGCUGCUGUCGCAUCUCUGUGUGGAUCAAGUCACGUGGUAUUUGUCAGUGCUCCUGAGUGCACAUCAGAAGGUGUAAAAGUUUUCGCCAAAGUUCAAGAAUCUUGGCUCCUUUUAAUGAGCUUUUUGUGCGAAAUUUAAUGGCAGCCAAAAAAGUUUUUAUAAUUAGCCGGAGGAUUAGUUUUACAAAGAGAGCUAAGCAACUAAGGCAGCUUUGCGCAGCAUGGCAGAUGUAGAAAAAAUUGUGUGAUAUAAUUAUGCAACUUGCACUUUUCUUAAGUUUGCAUAUAAUAUUGAUAAAAUAGUCAUAUUUAAACAUUUGCUUAAAUAUAUUUAUACGCAUAUAGCUCGAACAGUUAUUUAACUCCGCUCGAAAAGUUAAGAAGAAAAAUGUCAGAAUAAAUUGUAGAUAGAAAUUAUUGACUAAGAAAAUUUUAGUUAAUCUUCGGAUGACCUGUCUGUCGUAAAAUGUUGUAAAGUUUGUUUUCAAAGAUCCUUUGCCUAAGUUUCGGCCCUAACCUAAUUAUGCAAGUUAAAGAAAUAAUUAAUUCAAACUUCAAGUUAAGUUUUAAGUCUGACUGCUUUGAAUGAAAUAAAAGUACAAGAUAUUAGGUAAAAUUAAAAGUUUUUUUUGUUUGCUUAAAAAAUUGAGCUUAAAAUUGUUCGUGUAUUUGAUUGGCAUUUCCCUAAAAAUUUAAAAAAUAAAUAAAUUUUUUUCCACCUCGUUAAAGUGGCCAUCCAUUA